UUGUUUCUUAUAUUAUAUUUUAUCACAUUGCCAUCAAAUUAAAUUGCUUGAUUGAGUAAAUAGCUUCAUAAUGUACUAGUAAAUCUUUGCUACCAUUAUUGGCAAGUUUUUGUAAGUAAUCUUUCUAGUCAAGCACUUGCGUAUCACCUAUAGUAAUCUUAAGUUUUGCCAUUUUUCUCUUCUGAAUUUUCUCAUCUUGUUUUCAUAGGCUUGCUGGCUGGGUCUUCUAUGCUACUUGGUACUACAAUCAUGCCACUAGUUCGGGAGAGUGAGAGGGAAAGGAGGGCAUUCUUGGCGGAACAUAAACGCAUGGGUGAUGUGUAUGCUAAGCUAAGGGGUGCAUUGAUUACAUGCAUCGAGAGGAGUUAGCCGCAAGACUUGAAGCACAAGAGAGAUCAUUUGAAGAGAUACAAAAGAAGCAGCAAGAAGAAUUGGAAGCUCUAAAGAAGAUCCAACAAGAGAAGAAUGAAGCCUAGGCAAAGAAGCAAA